UCAUUCUGUGUCAUUCGUUCAUCUUUUUUUUUUCUUUUUUUCUUUUUUCUUUUGGUACUGUUGCUGGUGUUUUUGAAGAGGAGAGAGAGGAAAGAGAAAG
rnacentral:ribozyme from 14 species